AGAACGAACGCUGGCGGCAUGCCUAAUACAUGCAAGUCGAACGAACUCUUCGGAGUUAGUGGCGCACGGGUGCGUAACGCGUGGGAAUCUGCCCCUUGGUUCGGAAUAACAGUUGGAAACGACUGCUAAUACCGGAUGAUGACGAAAGUCCAAAGAUUUAUCGCCAAGGGAUGAGCCCGCGUAGGAUUAGCUAGUUGGUGAGGUAAAGGCUCACCAAGGCAACGAUCCUUAGCUGGUCUGAGAGGAUGAUCAGCCACACUGGGACUGAGACACGGCCCAGACUCCUACGGGAGGCAGCAGUAGGGAAUAUGGACAAUGGGCGAAAGCCUGGAUCCAGCAAUGCCGCGUGAGUGAUGAAGGCCUUAGGUUGUAAAGCGUCUUUACCCGAGUAUGAUAAUGAACAGUAGUCGGAAGAAGUAAGACCCCGGAUAACCGUCCGUAGCCCAG
rnacentral:rRNA from 1 species